rnacentral:rRNA from 1 species
GAAUGGCGUAAUGAUGGCCAGGCUGUCUCCACCCGAGACUCAGUGAAAUUGAACUCGCUGUGAAGAUGCAGUGUACCCGCGGCAAGACGGAAAGACCCCGUGAACCUUUACUAUAGCUUGACACUGAACAUUGAGCCUUGAUGUGUAGGAUAGGGUGGGAGACUAUGAAGUGUGGACGCCAGUCUGCAUGGAGUCAACCUUGAAAUACCACCCUUUAACGUUU